rnacentral:rRNA from 1 species
AGUGAACGCUGGCGGUAGGCCUAACACAUGCCAGUCGAACGGCAGCACAGUAAGAGCUUGCUCUUACGGGUGGCGAGUGGCGGACGGGUGAGGAAUACAUCGGAAUCUACUUUUUCGUGGGGGAUAACGUAGGGAAACUUACGCUAAUACCGCAUACGACCUACGGGUGAAAGCAGGGGAUCUUCGGACCUUGCGCGAUUGAAUGAGCCGAUGUCGGAUUAGCUAGUUGGCGGGGUAAAGGCCCACCAAGGCGACGAUCCGUAGCUGGUCUGAGAGGAUGGUCCGCCACACUGGAACUGAGCCACGGUCCAGACUCCUACGGGAGGCAGCAGUGGGGAAUAUUGGACAAUGGGCGCAAGCCUGAUCCAGCCAUACCGCGUGGGUGAAGAAGGCCUUCGGGUUGUAAAGCCCUUUUGUUGGGAAAGAAAAGCAGCAGGUUAAUACCCCGCUGUUCUGACGGUACCCAAAGAAUAAGCACCGGCUAACUUCGUG